AUGUCACAAGGAUCUGUGCUCCAACAGUGGAUUUGCCACCUCAGUUGAGCCAUGGCUGCCUCCAAGCUGACCCAUGUCCUAGGUUAUCUGUCCAGCUCUGGGUGGGAGCUCAUGGCUUUUCACCUUCUGUGCACAAAGGCGGUGUCUGGCAGCUUGGAGUGAGGAGCAGGAUUGCUUUGGCCCAGCGAGGGCAGCACUGGAAACCUGUGUGUGCAUCCAAUAAUGCAAUGGCUGGAAGACAAGGAAGUGGCAGAGUAGCUGGGUGGAUGCAGUGGAUAUUGGCAAUAAUUCUGAUGCUGUGGGGUCACCAGAUCAGUGGACAAGGACAAGGCCUGCUGAGGUGCACUGGAGUGCUGGGGUCAACUGCUGGGCUCCCAGUACAAGAGACAUGGAGAUACUGGAGCGAGCCCAGGGAAGGGCCACAAAGAACAGAAACAUCUGUUUUACAAGGAGAGACUGAGAGAGCUGGGACUGUUCAGCCUGGAUUAGAGAAGGCCAAGUACA